rnacentral:lncRNA from 1 species
AUUGGUCUUGGAAUGAGUUUUAAUCGAACCGAUUUGGACCUUUGAAUCUAAAAUUAAAUAAAGUCCAAUUGACUUAGACCCCAAAUUAAAUAGAAUAUCUACACACCAAAAUUUUCCUAAAUUAUGAGAUCAAAAAAUUCCAGAAUUUUCCAUUCCUUACCUUUAUUUCACCAAAACAAAGCGAUAAUCUUCAUUUUCUUCUCAAAACCAAACUCAUAAAAAUUUCUCUGGGAUGAGCAGAGUGGAGGGUAAAUUUGAGAUUAUUGACAACGAAUUUGAAAUCUAAAAUCUGUCUCUUUUACUUCAAUGACUCUCAAUGAUUCUUGAAUUGUAGUUCCUAAAACUCUCUAAAGCCACUUCUG